rnacentral:rRNA from 1 species
AACGCGAAGAACCUUACCUACGUUGAACUACGCAGGAAAAGCCAUGGAGACAUGGUGUCCGAAAGGGCCUGCGAUAGGUGGUGCAUGGCUGUCGUCAGCUCGUGUCGUGAGAUGUUGGGUUAAGUCCCGCAACGAGCGCAACCCUUGUCCUAUGUUGCCAGCGGGUAAUGCCGGGGACUCGUAGGAGACUGCCGGGGUCAACUCGGAGGAAGGUGGGGAUGACGUCAAGUCUGCAUGCCCCUUACGCGUAGGGCUGCAAACAUGCUACAAUGGCCGGUACAAAGGGCUGCUAUCCCGCGAGGGGGAGCGAAUCCCAAAAAGCCGGUCUCAGUUCGGAUUGGAGUCUGCAACUCGACUCCAUGAAGUCGGAGUCGCUAGUAAUCCCGGAUCAGCAACGCCGGGGUGAAUACGUUCCCGGGCCUUGUA